GCGCGGGUGCUGUAACUGGUAGCCAGGCACGCUUGAGGUGCGUGUGCCGUAAGGCGUGGGAGUUCGAGUCUCCCCUCGCGCA
rnacentral:tRNA from 1 species